rnacentral:lncRNA from 1 species
AUCUGAAUGUUGUAACAGCGGUAAACGCGAUGGCGGCAGCUGAAAUUCAGAACCAAACAUACGACGUCAUACACUGCCUAUUACAAAAUGAACUAUAUUUUGAUAUGGUGGAGCCUGAUGGUGCUGAAGAUGAGAACUCAUUUGACCCUGUAAAAAUAGCCUCAAAGCUCAGGGAACUGGGUGAUGAUUAUGAUGAGAGAGUGAUCCAGCCAUUGAUGAAGAAUGUACAGAAAGCUGCAGCCGAUCAGGUGAGUCGAGUCCAAACGUAUCAUCUUCAGACACCGAUCGACUAAUCUGAAGAACAUU